rnacentral:rRNA from 1 species
GACAGAGGUGCCAAGCGUUAGGCGGAAUCACUGGGCUUAAAGCGUGUGUAGGCGGAUGUCUAAGUACCUUGUGAAAUCCAACGGCUCAACCGUGGAACUGCUUGGUAUACUGGAUGUCUUGAGCCAUCUAGGGGCUACCGGAACAAAUGGUGGAGCGGUGAAAUGCGUAGAUAUCAUUUGGAACGCCAAUGGUGAAAACAGGUAGCUGGGGAUGUGCUGACGCUGAGACACGAAAGCCAGGGGAGCGAACGGG